rnacentral:ncRNA from 2 species
UCUUUACUCUGGGGAUAGGUGUAAUUCCUUACCGGCGGUACAGCCCGCGAGCCUUAUGGCAGAUUCGUUGAAAUUACGAAGCCGACAGUUAAAGUCUGGAUGGAAAGAGCAAAAC